UCUCCGUAGGUGAACCUGCGGAAGGAUCAUUCAUAAUAAGCGUUUUAUGGCACUUUUUUAAAUCCAUAUCCACCUUGUGUGCAAUGUCAGGGUUGAUUUUUCUCUCGAGAGGAUCAACCCCAAACAUCAACUAUAUCUCAACUCUUUGUCUGAAAAAUAUUAUGAAUAAAACAAUUCAAAAUACAACUUUCAACAACGGAUCUCUUGGCUCUC
rnacentral:misc_RNA from 1 species